rnacentral:rRNA from 1 species
CCUACGGGUGGCAGCAGUGAGGAAUAUUGGUCAAUGGACGAGAGUCUGAACCAGCCAAGCAGCGUGAAGGAGGACGGUCCUAUGGGUUGUAAACUUCUUUUAUAUGGGAAUAAAAUGGUCGACGUGUGGGAGGUUGUAUGUACCAUAUGAAUAAGGAUCGGCUAACUCCGUGCCAGCAGCCGCGGUAAUACGGAGGAUCCGAGCGUUAUCCGGAUUUAUUGGGUUUAAAGGGAGCGUAGGUGGAUUGUUAAGUCAGUUGUGAAAGUUUGCGGCUCAACCGUAAAAUUGCAGUUGAUACUGGCAGUCUUGAGUACAGUAGAGGUAGGCGGAAUUCGUGGUGUAGCGGUGAAAUGCUUAGAUAUCACGAAGAACUCCGAUUGCGAAGGCAGCUCGCUGGACUGUAACUGACGCUGAGGCUCGAAAGUGUGGGUAUCAAACAGGAUUAGAUACCCUUGUAGUC